GAAAUGCGAUAAGUAAUGUGAAUUGCAGAAUUCAGUGAAUCAUCGAAUCUUUGAACGCACAUUGCGCCCUCUGGUAUUCCGGGGGGCAUGCCUGUUCGAGCGUCAUUAUAACCACUCAAGCUCUCGCUUGGUAUUGGGGUUCGCGUCUUCGCGGCCUCUAAAAUCAGUGGCGGUGCCUGUCGGCUCUACGCGUAGUAAUACUCCUCGCGAUUGAGUCCGGUCGGUCUACUUGCCAACAACCCCCAAAUUUUUACAGGUUGACCUCGGAUCAGGUAGGGAUACCCGCUGAACUUAA
rnacentral:misc_RNA from 1 species